rnacentral:rRNA from 1 species
GGAUUGACACAUCGGUCGUGCCUUAAGGGGUAUGAACUGGUGUAGUCAAUUUCUCACCUUCUGGAGAACCACGAUGCCCUUAAUUGGGUGUCGCGGGGAACCAGGACCUUUACUUUGAAAAAAUUAGAGUGUUUAAAGCAGGCUAACGUCUGAAUACAUUAGCAUGGAAUAAUAAAAUAGGACGGCAUGAUUCUAUUUUGUUGUUUCUAGGAUCACCGUA